rnacentral:rRNA from 1 species
GCUUGUCUCAAAGAUUAAGCCAUGCAUGUCUCAGUAUAAGUUUGUACAUGGCGAAACUGCGAAUGGCUCAUUAAAACAGUUAUCGUUUAUUUGGUGGUUGUUUACUACAUGGAUAACCUUGGUAAUUCUAAAGCUAAUACAUGCGCAAAAGCCUGACUUAUUGGAAAGGCUGCGUUUAUUAGAUCAAAACCAAACGGCUUCGGCCGUCUCAUUGGUGACUCUGAAUAACUUUGGGCUGAUCGUAUGGCCUUGUGCCGACGACGUUUCCUUCGAAGGUGUGCCCUAUCAACUGUCGACUGUGAUAUAGACGCUCACAGUGGUUUUGACGGGUAACGGGGAAUCAGGGUUCGAUUCCGGAGAGGGAGCCUUAAAAACGGCUACCACAUCCAAGGAAGGCAGCAGG